CCCUUCUCCCCCUCCCCCAUGGAGCGAGUGAGCAGAAAGAGAGAGGGGAUCCCGACGAUCGAGAGAGAAGAUUCCGGCUCCGUGAGGUGGGCGGCGACCGCGAUGGCACAAUACCCCUUCACCCCCACCCCAGCGCCCCCCUCCCCCAACACUCCUCACUGUCUUCUCCCCCUUUUUGUCGCCGGAUCUGAAGAAGGGCCGCCGGCGUCGACCUACCAUCGUCGCCGAGGUUGGGGGGCGAGGUCGGGUCUCGUUGUCCCUGCAUCGAGCGUGCGCAGCUCCGCCUCGAUUCGGCACCGCGUCGCGGACGAGGAGCCAACGGAGCAGGGGAUGCUUCUGGCAGAGCAGGCCACGGGCGCCGGCGGCGUCAACCCUUGUGACCAGGCAACGGCAAGGGCGCCAAUCCCAUCCAACCAACCUCCGCAUCCAACACGGGGUCGGCAGCGGCGGGGGUGGCGCAGCGCGCAUCGACGACGAUGUGGAGACGCGCGCGGUGGAUUGCUCGAGGGCGUGGAAGUGCACGGUGUGCCUGCCAUCUUAACCUCCCCCGCGCAGCCGUUCCCAUGGCUGGUGGCAGCGGAGCCGAGGAGGGCCACUGCAGAGAGGAGUUCCACCGACGAAAGGAUGGCGUCGCGCGUGUGAGGCGGGCCGGCGCAGUGGAGGCGGGCUCACCACCGGUGCUGUCCUCUAGUUCCUGCGGUCGUCCUGCUUCCCUGGGCUCCCCCGUGCUCACCAGCACGUCCCCAAGAUCCCGUGCCGGAAGGGGGCUGCGGCGGCUAGGUCAUCGAGGCACCGAUGUAAGGGGAGGCGAUAGCCACGGCACGGACGACAGAGCAUGCGACGACGUCUCUGUCGUGGGGGUGGGCCGGCGGGCGGAGGUCACCACCGCUAUCUCCGGGCUGGCUCUCUCCGGGCGCGGGGGCCUCGAGAAGGCGGGGCGCUUCCAGAUGCGGCGGGUGCUAAUGGGCCCGGCUGUGGGCGCGCAGGUGUUUGCCGCGAGUUUUGCAUCCUUCUCGCCGGCGGCCGCUUCCAGAUGCGGCGGAUGCUGAUGCGCCCGGGCAGUGGCAGCUAGUGGUCGAGCCGCACGCUCGAGACGAGCUCCCAUGGCUCGUGGCGCUGCUGUGCGCUGCCGUCUAGCGUAGCACGCGCCCAAGCUGGAGCGAUUCUUAUGCGUCGCUUUUCUAUGGCGAGCUCCACCAUUGCAUGUAUGGGCCAGCACAUACGGUACGUUUGCCAUCUCUCCUAUGGCUUUUCUAGUAUGUCUCUACCAUUUUUGCUUGAUGGUUUGUGCAGUGUGUUGAGGAAUAUGAUGAUUUUUGCUCUUAAUUUUUGAAGAGGCAAGUUAGUUCAGGUGGCACAUUUACCCUCAUCCCGAUGGUAUAGUUGCCAUGGCAAAUUUACCUUUGAGCUAACUAGAGUGUUUGUCAUGUGAAAAAAAGUUACAGAUUUGCCUUGGCUAACUAGAGUGUUGGCCAUGGAAAAAAAAAAUAACCGAUUUGCCAUGACAAAAUUUAGAACAAUUUUGCCAUGGAAAAAUGUUUAACAAUUUUUCCACGGAUAAAAAUAGCACAAAGAAAUGAUGGAAAAUAAUUCCAUGGCAAAAACACAUUCAAAUUUGCCGUGUUAUUUUUUAUCAAAAUGCCAAACCUUUUAGUUUUUAGUUGCCAUGGCAACUCAACUUUUUAGUUUUGCCAUGAUGUGUUGCCGCGGAACUAACAAAAGGUUCGUGUUGCCAUGUAAAUAUAUGAUGUGUUGCCAUGUUUUUUCUUUGCGACAUGGCAAUUUGUUCUAUGAGAGCAUGGCAAAUGUAGUUUAAUAUGUUGUCAUGUUCACGGCGAUUUUUGUGUUGUUUCACAUACACGGCAUCUUAAUACCAAAGAAGAUGUCAAGUCUUGGUUAAACACCAUGGCAAGUUUGAACAUGCUUUUUGCCAUCACAAUUUUUGAUCAUUUUUUGUAUAAUUUCACAUUCGUGGCAACUUUUUUUUACAUAAGCAUGGCAAAUUUGAUUAAAAAACCCACAAAAAAAUUGAAUAUGCAUUUUGCCAUGGCAUUCGAAUAUACAUUUUUUCCAUGGCAAAUUUGACAAUUUCUUGUGUUAUUUCCAUUACAUGGCAAAUUAAUGACACCAAAUAUGGAAAAAUUUGGUAAAAUACCAUGGCAAAUUUGAACAUUCCCUUGCCAAGGCAACUAUUCAUCAUUUUUGUAAUAUUUCACAAUAUUGCAAAUUUAUUUAUAUUAGCAUCGCAAAUUUCAUAAAAAAAUCCAUGGCAUAUUAGAAUAUGCAUUGCCAUGGCAAUUUUUAUCUUCUUUUCGUGUUGUUUCACAUACACGGCAAUUUAAUUACACAAAGAUGGCAAGUUUUGAUAAAAUACCAUGGCCAGUUUUGAACAUGCUUUUGCCAUGACAAUUUUUUAUUAUUUCACAAUCAUGGCAAUUUUGGUAAAAUACCAUGGCAAUUUUGAGCAUGCUUUUACCAUGGCAACUAUUGAUCAUUUUUGUAUUUUUUUCACAUUCAUGGUAAUUUUUUUAUAUUAGCAUGGCAAACUUGAUUACAUAUUCCACGGCAAAUUAGAAUACGCUAUUUGCCAUUGCAUUUUUGAUCUUUCUUUUCGUGUUGUUUUAUAUACACGGCAAUUUAAUUACACAAAGAUGGCAAGUUUUGAUAAAAUACCAUGGAACAUGUUUUUGCCAUGGCAAUUUUUGAUAUCUUUUAUUAUUAUUUCACAAUCAUAGCAAAUAGAUCAUAUAUAAGAAUGGCAAUUUUGACAAAAAUCCCACGGUAAAUUUGUAUAUGCAUUUGCCAUGGCAAUUUUAAUCUUUUUUUGUGUUGUUUGAUUGGCACGGAAAAACAUACACAAAAUUUUUAAUCCAUUUUUUUUCUGCCCCCAUGAUACAGAUGCAAAUUGCCAUGAACUUUUCCUUUUUAGUUCAUUGUUUUAAUAUAAAAAAGAUCUUUUGACCAUGGCAAAUUUUGCUUGUAGGUACGACGACAUUUUUUCGGUUUGAACCAUUGGGAUUUUUUAGUACUAGUUUGUUUGUCACUCUUAUCUGUUAUGGCAAAUUCAUCUUUCCGUUUUAUAGGAUGGUAAAUCUGGGCUUUAUUAUCACAACAAAACUGUGUUUUUAUUUUUUUAUCAUGCCAUGAAAGUCUAUGCAUUUUUUAGUCUAUGUAUCAUGAUAUAUAGAACAUUUUUCAACAAAAUUGCCAUGGCCCAUGGCAAAUAUAGCCUAUGCAUCAUGGAACUUAUACUCUAUGGAUGAUGAUCUAUUGAACAUUUUAGUUCAUGUCAUUUUUCGAAACAUAUUUUCUUUCUUCCAUGACAAUUUAAUAUGUUUUGGUAAACCCUGCCAUUUUUGUAAAAAAUAACAUGAUGGCAAGUCGUAAAUGUAGUGGCAACUUUUCUAGAAAUUCAAAUGGUUUUUUCUACUUUUAAAGUUAUUGGAUGGCAUCGUAGGCUUUUUUGGUCGCAGAAAAAAAAAAUAUGGACUUCUUAUUCUUUACUAAGAUUGUAGGGCCCAAUAUAGAGAAGGCCUGUAGGGCCGAUACGAUGGACGUUCGGGGUGGUGGCAGCGAUCGCACUGCAUGAAAUCGUGCGGGCGGGGAAAGCGAUCGUCCCGAGCGAUUUGUUCGGUCCAGCUGCCUUCCUGCCACACGUGUGGGCAGUUUCAGUGUUCGCCCACACAACGUCGUGUGGGCUGCCUGCGUGUAUGCCACAUAGGGUCGUGUGGACGGGUGAUCAUUAUGCCACACGUGUGGCACUUAUUGGCGUCCUAAAUUUAAGGGUUUACUCCGCUUUAUUAUUUUUGGUCGGUUAAAGUUGUCCUGAGUAACGCGCGCAAUGAGACGAAAGCAAGUCCGUGUCGCCCGCGAAGUCGGACUCCUAUUCCGAAAUUGGUUGGCUUCUGCUUGCCGGCCAAUUACUGCCACAGAUUUUGCUGCUUGCGGAAGCGGAACCAAUGGCAAUAAUGGCCGACGAGUGCAUGGAGCACGCCCUGACCUUCGCCAUCGACAGCAGCACGGCGGCCCAGCACUGGCUCGUCCCGCUUCCAUCCCAGCACCAGGACGCGGCAACAUUGCAGCAGCAGCAGCAGCUUGGAUCCGUCGGAUACGACGCCGACGCGGCAGAGGAGCUCGGCCGAUCGGUCCUGCUCGUCGCGGAGGCCCUCUUCCUCCGCGGCGUCCUCGGUGACGACGAUCUCCUACGGGUCCUGUCGGCCAUGCCCAAUCCCGGCGACGCCUACCGCGACGGCGGUUUCGGAGGAGUCCCUGCGUCAGCAUCGGCGGUGGCCGGCCUGGAGAAGCGUGUUUAUUGUCGCGGGGGAGGCCAGGGCGGUCCUAGCACGACGGACACGGGCUGCGUCAUCUGCUUGGAGGACUUCGUGGCAGGUGACGAGAUCGCGUGAUGCCGUGCUCGCAGAAGCACAGCUUUCACCGGGGUUGCAUCGCCGAGUGGCUGGGACGCAGCAACGCCUGCCCCCUCUGCCGCCACGCCCUGCCCUCCUACUCCUAGCAUAGCAUAGUGACUUAGGGCCACUUCUUUACGGUCCAUUCUAGAGAAUCACGGUCCUAGAAAUCAAAAUCAUAAAAGAACUCGUUUCUUCCCCGUGAAUUAGCGGAGAAUAAUCAGAACCAGUAGUGUAUUUGAGGAGGAUCUGUCCAUGUCACAUCUAGAUAUGACACAGGUAUGUCACAUUUAAGUUGUGACAUCAGCGACACCUCACCAUAAUAGAUGCAAGCCCAUGACUGUCAUUUUGUUUUGUUUGUAUUUUUAUUUGUCAAAUGUCAUGCAUACGUUAAUGUCAUAAUGAGAAAUAUCAUCUAUCUUUCCAUCCUAAGGAGCCAACUCGCAACGCGAGGGAUCGUGAAAACCAGAUCUCGCUCCUGUGCCGUUCCUGAGCGGCACCGGGGCUCCCCACCCUAGCAGCCCUCGGCUCCCCACCUCAUCUCCCCCUCCCCUGCCGCCGCCGGGGUGCGCCACCGGGCAAAGCCCGUGCGGUGCCGGCGGCGGCAGGAUUACUCUCUGGCGGUGGACGGCUCCUUGGCGUUUAGAUUCUGUGUGUGGCUCCUGCACGUGCUGCAUGCAUGCUGCGGCGACCUGACGGCCGAGCAACACAACUCUCCCGCGAUUGCAAGACUCCAUUCCGCUGCAGGGCGUCAUCGUGAGACUUCGGCUCGUCUCUUCCUGUGGCUUGACAACGGCUUGCUCCAGGGCGUGGAGGCAACUAGGUCACGGGAUCCGGUGACUCUGGAUCUGGGAGGUUCACGGAGGCUUGUUUCACAUGGGGUUCCCUGGGAAAAAGGAAACACCACGUGUCGUUGCUCCCACGCGGAUGACCCUAGCGGCUACAUCCGAAACCUAGCGCCACCAUCUAUGUGUCGGCACGGUGGAACCUCUCUGGAGACGGCGGGUGCCGCAGUUGCUCAGAUCCGGCAUGCCCAGUCCCGGCGGUCUGCCACUCGUCCGGGGCGCGGCGCACGGCUGCGGCUGCCCGCCGUUUGCUGGCGGCAGUGACUUAACACUGGGCGCUCAGAUUAGUCAUGCUACAACGACAUUUUGCGGCUCACGACGGGCAGGGUCAAUGAAAGGUCUUCGGAGAGGGUUCAUCGCUUCAGACCCGGUGGCUGAUUUCGGCGGUGAGAUGCAAACUUUGGACUAAGACUUGACGCAGAGAAAUGAUUGAGCAGCACAUCACAUGCAGCUGUUGGGAUCAUGGAAAAGCGGGGGCGACGAAGCAUGUGUGACUGGUUGGUGGUGAUGUGUGCAUCCGGCUCAAGCUCUGGGGUUAAAACUUAGGGCUGACGUGAGUUGGUUAUACUUGACAGUUGUGACAUUUUUUGCGUCAUUACCUUGUUGAAGACAUUGCUCGGAUAUGUUUGGGUUGACUUUUUAGGGUGAAAACCUAGAUUCCGACCUUAAUGGUUGGAUUCGGUGACGGCGGCCCAUGAGCACCGCUUCCUUUCUGAAGGUGUUGCCGUUGAAAAACUUGCCGUUCAUGUCGAGUCAUGAGAUGGUUGGUGUGGAUAUGAUCAUUGUUACAGUUUGUUGAUCGCGGAUCUAAUCACUUUGGAGUUUUCUUUCUCUUCUUUUCACACCUACACAUAGCUUUUAUAUCAUAUACUUUGCUAGUUGUUGGCGUGUUUGUGUGUGUUAGUGUUGGCUGUGUGCAUUCUUAUUAUGCAGAGACAGGGUGUGUGCUUAUUCUGUCUGUAUUCUCUUGAUGCUUCAUUUUAAACUAAUAAAAUCCAUCCUUUCUCAAUUUUUUUUUCUUUUGUCCGUAGAUGUGUUCAUGUGUGCUCAAAGCACAAAAGACCUAAACGAUCUUUUCUAAAUGGGACAAAAAGAGUUGCCUCGUCGGGAGCUCACAAGUUUCUAGAAACAAACUACUAGAAACUAAGGCCAAAGUGGACGCCAAGCACGUUGCGUAAUGGCGGGCGCCAAGCACCUACGUGAUUUAAUAUCGAGAGAGUAAUCCCUUGUAUUGGCCGCUUAGCUAGGCCUUAGUUUCUUGUUUUUUUCUACGAACUUGUGAGCUCUCCUUAAUUAAUUAGACGAGGCAAAUCUUUUUGCCCAUUUAAAAAAAAUCAUCUAGGUCUUUUGUGUUUUGAGCACACUUGAACCCAUCUACGGAUUCAGAAUUAUUCAUAGGAGAAAUCUCUAUACCCCUUCAUAAUGAAGUGUAGGAUGGUCUUUUUAGAAAAUACAUUGUUGUCACCAAUAUGCGGCCUGUGUACACACCGCCCGUAUACGGACCUGCGUACGUGGCAUAAUCAAACCCUAUUUGGUAUCCACGGUGGCAUCUUUUUUUCUAUUUCUUUUAAUCUUCAGAAA